rnacentral:rRNA from 1 species
GACGAACGCUGGCGGCGUGCCUAACACAUGCAAGUCGAACGAAGAAUGUUUUUCGGAAUAUUCUUAGUGGCGGACGGGUGAGUAACGCGUGAACAAUCUGCCCCGUACAAAGGGAUAGCCUCGGGAAACCGGGAUUAAAACCAUAUAACGCUUUAGUACCGCAUGGUAAUAAAGUCAAAUCGAUUAAGAGGUAUGGGAUGAGUUCGCGUCUGAUUAGCUAGUUGGUGAGGUAAGGGCUCACCAAGGCGACGAUCAGUAGCCGGCCUGAGAGGGUGAACGGCCACACUGGAACUGAGACACGGUCCAGACUCCUACGGGAGGCAGCAGUGGGGAAUAUUGCACAAUGGAGGGAACUCUGAUGCAGCGACGCCGCGUGAGUGAAGAAGGUCUUCGGAUCGUAAAACUCUGUCCUUGGUGAAGAAAAGGACGGUAGCCAAGGAGGAAGCCCGGCUAACUACGUGCCAGCAGCCGCGGUAAAUCUACACGUACGUACGUAGACGGCGGCGUCGGACGACGGCGACG